UACGAAGGGAGCUAGCGUUGUUCGGAAUCACUGGGCGUAAAGCGCACGUAGGCGGAUGUGUCAGUCAGGGGUGAAAUCCCGGAGCUCAACUUCGGAACUGCCUUUGAUACAGCACGUCUUGAGUCCGAGAGAGGUGGGUGGAAUUCCUAGUGUAGAGGUGAAAUUCGUAGAUAUUAGGAAGAACACCGGUGGCGAAGGCGGCCCACUGGCUCGGUACUGACGCUGAGACGCGAAAGCGUGGGGAGCGAACAGG
rnacentral:rRNA from 1 species